UUUUAUUUGAGAGUUUGAUCCUGGCUCAGGAUGAACGCUGGCGGCGUGCCUAACACAUGCAAGUUGAGCGAUUUACUUCGGUAAAGAGCGGCGGACGGGUGAGUAACGCGUGGGUAACCUACCCUGUACACACGGAUAACAUACCGAAAGGUAUGCUAAUACGGGAUAAUAUAUUUGAGAGGCAUCUCUUGAAUAUCAAAGGUGAGCCAGUACAGGAUGGACCCGCGUCUGAUUAGCUAGUUGGUAAGGUAACGGCUUACCAAGGCGACGAUCAGUAGCCGACCUGAGAGGGUGAUCGGCCACAUUGGAACUGAGACACGGUCCAAACUCCUACGGGAGGCAGCAGUGGGGAAUAUUGCACAAUGGGCGAAAGCCUGAUGCAGCAACGCCGCGUGAGGGAUGAAGGCCUUCGGGUCGUAAAACUCUGUCCUCAAGGAAGAUAAUGACGGUACUUGAGGAGGAAGCCCCGGCUAACUACGUGCCAGCAGCCGCGGUAAUACGUAGGGGGCUAGCGUUAUCCGGAUU
rnacentral:rRNA from 1 species